UACGAAGGGUGCAAACGUUGCUCGGAAUUAUUGGGCGUAAAGCGCACGUAGGCGGCGCUCUAAGUCGGAUGUGAAAGCCUUUGGCUCAACCAAAGAAGUGCAUUCGAAACUGGAGCGCUUGAGUAGUUAAGAGGAUCGCGGAAUUCCCGGUGUAGAGGUGAAAUUCGUAGGUAUCGGGAGGAACACCAGUGGCGAAGGCGGCGAUCUGGGAACAUACUGACGCUGAGGUGCGAAAGCGUGGGGAGCAAACAGG
rnacentral:rRNA from 1 species